rnacentral:rRNA from 1 species
UACGGGGGGGGCAAGCGUUGUUCGGAAUUACUGGGCGUAAAGGGCGCGUAGGCGGUGUGUCAAGUCAGGCGUGAAAGCCCCGGGCUCAACCUGGGAACCGCGCUUGAGACUGGCACGCUCGAGUUCGGGAGAGGAUGGUGGAAUUCCCAGUGUAGAGGUGAAAUUCGUAGAUAUGGGGAGGAACACCGGUGGCGAAGGCGGCCACCUGGACGGUAACUGACGCUGAGACGCGAAAGCGUGGGUAGCAAACAGG